rnacentral:rRNA from 1 species
UACGGGGGGGGCAAGCGUUGUUCGGAAUUACUGGGCGUAAAGGGCUCGUAGGCGGCCAACUAAGUCAGACGUGAAAUCCCUCGGCUUAACCGGGGAACUGCGUCUGAUACUGGAUGGCUUGAGUUUGGGAGAGGGAUGCGGAAUUCCAGGUGUAGCGGUGAAAUGCGCAGAUAUCAGGAGGAACACCGGUGGCGAAGGCGGAUCUCUGGGCCGAUACUGACGCUGAGGAGCGAAAGCGUGGGGAGCGAACAGG